GUGCUCGCUUCAGCAGCACAUAUACUAAAAUCAGAACAAUACAGAGAAGAUUAGCACAGCCCCUGAGCAAAGAUGAUAUGCAAAUUCCUGAGGUAUUCCAUAUUUUU